ensembl:snoRNA SNORD15 Small nucleolar RNA SNORD15
CUUCAGUGAGGAUACGAUGACGAGUCGGAAGAGGGCGCAGAUUGUCUCUGGGUUUCUGUCUCCGAGUCGCGUUCUGCAUCUCGGUGUUGGGGCUCCUGAGCACUGUGCUCAUUCUUGUUUGAAGACAUAGAGGCAUUUGUCUGAGAAGG